GACAGAGGGUGCAAACGUUUGUUCGGAUUUACUGGGCGUAAAGCGCGUGUAGGCGGCUUCGCAAGUUGGAUGUGAAAUCCCACGGCUCAACCGUGGACGUGCAUCCAAAACUGCGUCGCUAGAGUUUCGGAGAGGAAGGUGGAAUGCUUGGUGUAGAGGUGAAAUUCGUAGAUAUCAAGCAGAACACCUGCGGCGAAGGCGGCCUUCUGGACGAUGACUGACGCUGAGACGCGAAAGCGUGGGGAGCAAACAGG
rnacentral:rRNA from 1 species